AUUGAACGCUGGCGGCAUGCCUUACACAUGCAAGUCGAACGGUAACAGGUCUUCGGAUGCUGACGAGUGGCGAACGGGUGAGUAAUACAUCGGAACGUGCCCAGACGUGGGGGAUAACGAGGCGAAAGCUUUGCUAAUACCGCAUACGAUCUAAGGAUGAAAGCAGGGGACCGCAAGGCCUUGCGCGUUUGGAGCGGCCGAUGGCAGAUUAGGUAGUUGGUGGGAUAAAAGCUGACCAAGCCGACGAUCUGUAGCUGGUCUGAGAGGACGACCAGCCACACUGGGACUGAGACACGGCCCAGACUCCUACGGGAGGCAGCAGUGGGGAAUUUUGGACAAUGGGCGAAAGCCUGAUCCAGCAAUGCCGCGUGCAGGAUGAAGGCCUUCGGGUUGUAAACUGCUUUUGUACGGAACGAAAAGGCUCUGGCUAAUACCUGGGGCACAUGACGGUACCGUAAGAAUAAGCACCGGCUAACUACGUG
rnacentral:rRNA from 1 species